rnacentral:tRNA from 2 species
GGAGACGUGGCCUAGCCUGGACAGGGCAGGAGGUUUCUAACCUCCCGAUCGGCGGUUCGAAUCCGUCCGUCUCCG